UACAGAGGGUGCGAGCGUUGUCCGGAAUCACUGGGCGUAAAGGGCGCGUAGGUGGUGGCUUAAGCGUGCGGUGAAAGCUCGGGGCUCAACCCCGAGUCGGCCGUGCGAACUGGGCUCACUGGAGCAUAGUAGAGACAGGUGGAAUUCCGGGUGUAGCGGUGGAAUGCGUAGAGAUCCGGAAGAACACCGGUGGCGAAGGCGGCCUGCUGGGCUAUGGCUGACACUGAGGCGCGACAGCGUGGGGAGCAAACAGG
rnacentral:rRNA from 1 species